UACAGAGGGGGCAAGCGUUGUUCGGAAUUACUGGGCGUAAAGGGCGCGUAGGCGGCCCGCUAAGUCGAACGUGAAAUCCCCGAGCUCAACUCGGGAACUGCGUCCGAUACUGGCGGGCUUGAAUCCGGGAGAGGGAUGCGGAAUUCCAGGUGUGAGCCGGUGAAAUGCGCAGAGUAUCAGGAGGAACCGAGCCGGUAGGCGAAGGCGGUUCGUCCGUGG
rnacentral:rRNA from 1 species